rnacentral:piRNA from 1 species
UGUAAGUUAAAUGUGCUUUAUUUCAGAGC